rnacentral:rRNA from 1 species
GACGUAGGGUGCGAGCGUUGUCCGGAAUUAUUGGGCGUAAAGAGCUCGUAGGCGGCUUGUCGCGUCGAAUGUGAAAUCUCAGGGCUCAACUCUGACAUUGCAUUCGAUACGGGCAGGCUAGAGUUCGGUAGGGGAGACUGGAAUUCCUGGUGUAGCGGUGAAAUGCGCAGAUAUCAGGAGGAACACCGGUGGCGAAGGCGGGUCUCUGGGCCGAUACUGACGCUGAGGAGCGAAAGCGUGGGGAGCGAACAGG